UUUCCUUUUUUGGAUAAAAAAUGCCGAAGGGAGAGCGCGGCUCAGCCCAGCAACGUGAUGUGGCGUAGAUGGCUAGCACAGGGGUAAUCCAGGCAUUUUGCAUGGGUUAUUAUUGUAUUUGAAUACACCAUACAUAUAAAUAUACACAUAUUAUAGAAUUAUCUACCCGUUUGCUUUAGUGUUUCCCGUUUUUCUUCUUCCUCAAAUUUUUUUUUGAUUUCCCACUCUGUUCUCUCUCCUCUAUACUACUCUUGUUCUCCUGAGCUUUGUUCAACAAAUUCCAGUGCCUUUUUUAACAAAUCCCAUAGCAAUGUUCAACCAUCCCAUCUUCCCCAAACUGAAGGUUGCUCCUUGGUUAUGGCUUUGAAGUUUGGUACCACAAUGAAGCGGAGACGAGGGGGAACAUUUGAAGUUUGUAAAAGUAAAAAGCGUAAACAGAAAGGCGUUGAUUACGAGGACGAUUCAAUGUCCAAAUCUGAUUAUGAAUUCCGUCCUGAUUCAAAUUCAGAAUCUGUAGGCUCGAGUGCAGUUUCGAAAGUAUGACUAGUGAAGUUGUAGCCUUGCAUGAGGAAAUUGAGAAGCAAAAAAAAAAAAAAAUGGAGAUGGAGAUGGAAAAACAAAUGGGGAAGCAAAAAUUGAAGCAAAAAAUGAUUACUGUCGACAAAGAGGAUUACAGUGAACGGAGCCAGAAUUCGAAGCUUGUUCGCCUUAAGAAAAAUCCUCGAAUACCUAGAGUGAAACCAAAUCGUGCUACAAAGAAACUUGAUCCUGUUGUGUUUGUGGCAAUGUCGAAUGUCAAUUGUGCCAUUGAGAGUUUAGAAAGGGUUGUUGCUAAAUUUUAUGAAACCAAGAGGCACAUUGUUACGAAAAUGGGGUUUGGAAAACUGCUCUUUGCUACUAGGAAAGAACAUCCACGACAGUGUUUGUGUUGGAUCGGUCAGUACAAGAGUAGAUCUAAAGAAUAAAAUGUUGGUGGCAGUGGAUGGACAACAAAUCCCGUUGAAUGCGAUCUAGGUCCAUUGGGUUCUUGGCCUUCCAUAUGGGAAAAGAGCACUUCCGAUGAAGCUUGUACAUAAGGCUUUAAGGAUCGUUUGUAUCAAAUGUAUAGCACAGCUACGAGGAGCGGCACAACUGGAAGUUAUAGGAAGACUCACGUAGAAGCAGUUGAGGGCCUGUUAGUUGAUGAGAGUGAAUUCAAGAAGGUUUUUUUAAAUGUUGGUCCUAAAUAUUCUAUGUUCAACAACUUGUCAUCGAAGAAGAAGUAGUUGCACGCAGUUGCCGUGGCUGACAAUGCAGACAAGUAUGAUAUGAUUGGUGUACAAUUGUUUUGGAUGAGUUGCUACAAUCGUUAGAUAAUUUCAGUACGAGGUUUUAUGCGAAGGGGUGGGCUCCUUGUCUCGGUGGCUGUACAUUUGUUUUUUUGUCGGUCUUGUAUUUAGAUAAACUUAAGAGGAUUCCAGUCCAGGGGAUGUCUUCCCACGAAUAAAAGUGUGGACUACGGAGGAGAUGAGGAAAGCGGCCAAGGACGAUAAGUUACCCGGCAGUGAUUAUGGUAAACUAAGGAGGUGGCAUACGGAAAACUAAGCACCCUAAACAACCAAUGGAUAAUCUCCCCAGUCGACGAAGGCAUUUAAAAAGAAGAAAUGAUGAGGAGUCUGAUGACACUGAGUAAGAGUUGGGAAAGCUUAGAGAAGAAGCUUGGAAUGGGAGUAUCAAGAGUGUACUCCAAGGAACUAUUCCGAAGAGUUUUUCAGAGUUUCUCUUCCCAUUCCUUGAAGUUGACCAAGCUAAGGCUAAAAGUCAACUUGUCAAGGAGUUCCGGGCACAUAGAGUUAUUAUUGAUUGAGUUACUUGCAGACAUAUUUCUACAAUUGAGAGAAUUUGAAAUGAAAAACCAUUCAUAAUCCAACAAGUUUGAAAUAUAAAGCAUUCAUUCAAAUUUUCAAUCUUAUU